ensembl:lncRNA
AUCUCUAUCUGGAGAUCACUCCUUUUGGAGUCCUUGUGUGAGCCCAGGAUGUGGGAAGUCAAAUACAAGAAGAGCAGCAGAGUCUUGAAGAUCAUUUGGCUGUUUUCCCCAUGCUAGUCCUCACCAAAGGAAAAAUUAACUUCAAGAAGUUAGAUGCAAUGCAUGACAACAACUGGGAUGGAGCCAAGGCAAAUGUUCUAGGCAUAUUGCCUGGAUAUAUUCAAAUUUCAAGGAGGUAGUGUCAACUUCAAUUUUUGUUGCCAUGUUGCAGAUGGCAGCAGAGGGGCAGUCUGAAAAAUGGCAUCUGAUAUGCUUCAAAUUUAGGAAAGAAGUCUUCAGUAUACAGAAAUCAACUAAUUAUAAGCUGAACACAACAUAAGUCAUCUUGUUAUGUGUGUUAAGAGCUUUGGGAUCAAAUACUCCAUACUAUACCUUAAUAUGUUUUAAACUCCUGGCGACAAACAGAUGGAGUGUUGUGUUCAGCGCAUUUCUUCAGAGUUUCUAAAUCUGCCUGAUGGGAAUUCUGUUACCUGCACCAGCUGUACAUCUGACCUCUUUGACUUCUACUUGCCAGGCUCGGAAUAAAUGAGGCAGCGCUGGCUUGUAUUUAAAAUAAAGUAUAUGUAAAUAUGGACAUAUCUGACAUGUUGCUGCAGCGCCUAUUUAAAAUGUGUGCUCUCUGGUAUAACCCUUGUACCCAUAACUAUAAAGUCUUUCAAACUGUCUAUCAAUAAAAUAUUUUUAUGUCUU